CGGAUAUAUCUAGCUAGCGGAUAUGAAAGCCUAGUCAUGUGGCUCCACUUAGUGACGUGUUAGGCUUACAAUAAGUGACAAAUGAAGCAGAUAUUGGCGGAUAAAUGGGGAAGGCUGCCUCCACCUCAGCUGGUAACAUUAGAUAGUAAUUGACGAACACAACACACCACGUGGAGAGAAGCAAGGUGUGGAGUACCCAAGCCUCUCACAGUCCAUGCUAGUAGACUCACCCUGCAUGUGGAGAUCUCCCAAAAUGCACGGAGGUUAUUCCAGAGCUGCAGGACAGAGUACUUGAGGCCAUUGGUGAACAGAAAGCUGAGGUUGAACAAAGCCAAGAAUUGAUAGCUGCCCAAGGUGUAAGCAAGAUUCACAAUGAUGAGGUCAUUGUGACGUGUGCAAUGUGUCCACUGGUCUUGGCCUUCCUGACCAAGGCAGCCACACAAAGGAAAUUCCACGUUAUUGUUGCCGAACGUGCCCCUAAAUAUGA